rnacentral:lncRNA from 1 species
UGCUUUUAUUUAUGUGACCAUAAUAAAAAUUGAUUGAUUGAUAUAUUUUUUAACUGAUUAUAUUAGCAACAUUCUAUUGUGGUUCCCAACCUUUACAGCAUGUUAGCAUGGCAGGAGAGGGAAGUCGAGCUGCGUGCAUGUGCGCUGGCUUGACGCUCGCACAAGUUAAACUUGCACCUGCACUCUGGACUGCAUCUUGUGCAAGUCGAGCUGCACACACGUGUAUAUGCACAAGUCAGCGAUUCAUGUGGCCUGUUCUGAAGUAAUCCGAUAGGGGGCCGCAACCCAGGGGUUGAGGACCUCUAUUCUAUUGCGUGCAUGUAUCUGAAAGUAUGGCUAUUGUUUUUCUCUAUCAAUUAAUCACUGGUGCCCUGACUGAAGCUCUUUUAUCUUUUAUAAUCCCAAAAAGUAUAUUCAAAUAAAUUCAGUCUUUUUCGGGAUAAUUUAUUCUGGCCUAUGGUUAUUACAUCAGAGAAGUAAGUUCAGGAGGAAAGGGGACUUAUGGGAUUGCUAAUACACUGCUCUUUACAAUAUCCCUGAGAAUAAGAAUGUUUCCUCUUAAAGUUCAAAAUACAUGCCUUUGUGAAAGAGAAAUAAAAAUAUGUUACUGAGAAUGCUUAAUUUGGAAGCCACUUUUUCAAGCAAUGUCUCUUAACACACUGUUCUGUUCAUAAGUUGCAGGCAAGUGAAACUUUAAGGAACACUAGUCACAGCAGUACAGCUGCUGACUUACUACAAGCUAGGCAACAGAUAUUUACCUAUCAGCAACAGCUCGAAGAACAAGAACAGCUGUUGAGAGACUAUCAGAAGAAAAAUGAAGAUUUUGAAGUGCAGGUUUCCCUUCUGCAACAUAAAAUCAUGGACAUGGGAAAAUGGAAAGAUGAAGAAGAUUGUUCUUACAAAGAAGAAAAUGCAUGAACAACAAACAACUAUUGAACAACUGGAAGCAAAAUAUAUAGAACAUGAAGAAAAUAUAUUUCUGUAUCUGAAAAAAAUUAUCAAUUGCUGAAAAAUCUCUACAGGAAUUAAAAGAAGAGAAUUUUCAAAAGAUUCAAGAGCUGGGUAAUGUGAAGCUUGAACUAACAACCUCUAAACAAAAAGAAAGGCAAUGUUCUGAUGAAAUAAAGCAGUUAAUGGGAACUGUGGAAGAACUGCA